AAAAAAAAAAAAAAAAAAACUCUCUCUGAACCCUUUCUCUCGCUCUCUCAAACCCAUUCCUCCCAACCCAUCGAACUAACCUCUCGGUCGCGAACCUCUCCGACAACAGUCGACAUCGGCGUCUCUUACUUUUACCAAUCCUUCCUGAUUGCUUUGAACUUCCUUAACAACAACAAAAUCACACAUGCAGAUGAAGAAGGAAACUGUUUCUUUCUGUGUUGAAUUUCUAGAGUUUGGACCGAAUGAUUAUCACCAAGCGGAAUGAGGAUAAUUGAAUGCAAGACUCGGUUGUAUUUAAUUUUUUGGAAUGCAAAACUUAGUUGUUUUUUAGACUUAGUUAUUUGGUGAUUAUGUUUGAUCUAUAUGAAUGAUGAAUUGGAUUUUUGUGGAUGUUAUAGGAUUUUGAUAAGUUGAAUUUGUCUUUUCUUUGUUAAAGACAUAUUUUAAGAAAUUAUUGUGUUGAUUUA
rnacentral:lncRNA from 1 species